rnacentral:rRNA from 1 species
GAUGAACGCUGGCGGCGUGCCUAAUACAUGCAAGUCGAGCGAACGGACGAGAAGCUUGCUUCUCUGAUGUUAGCGGCGGACGGGUGAGUAACACGUGGAUAACCUACCUAUAAGACUGGGAUAACUUCGUGAAACCGGAGAUAAUACCGGAUAAUAUUUUGAACCGCAUGGUUCAAAAGUGAAUGACGGUCUUGCUGUCACUUUUAGAUGGAUCCGCGCUGCAUUAGCUAGUUGGUAAGGUAACGGCUUACCAAGGCAACGAUGCAUAGCCGACCUGAGAGGGUGAUCGGCCACACUGGAACUGAGACACGGUCCAGACUCCUACGGGAGGCAGCAGUAGGGAAUCUUCCGCAAUGGGCGAAAGCCUGACGGAGCAACGCCGCGUGAGUGAUGAAGGUCUUCGGAUCGUAAAACUCUGUUAUUAGGGAAGAACAUAUGUGUAAGUAACUGUGCACAUCUUGACGGUACCUAAUCAGAAAGCCACGGCUAACUACGUG